rnacentral:piRNA from 1 species
UGAUACUUGAGUGUAGAAGAUGUCUGCUGGG